rnacentral:rRNA from 1 species
GUAAACCCAAGGUUUCCAGGGGAAGGUUCGUCCGCCCUGGGUUAGUCGGGACCUAAGCUGAGGCCGAAAGGCGUAGGGGAUGGACAACAGGUUGAUAUUCCUGUACUACCGAUAACCGUUUGAGAGAAGGGAUGACACAGUAGGAUAAGCUAAGCACACUGUUGGUUAUGUGUGCCCAAGCAUUGAGGCAGUCAAAGUAGGCAAAUCCGCUUUGAUAAUGCUGGGAUGUGAUGGGGAGCGAAAUUUAGUAGCGAAGUAGCUGAUUUCACACUGUCAAGAAAAGUCUCUAUCGAGGUUAAAGGUACCCGUACCGCAAACCGACACAGGUGGGUGAGGAGAGUAUCCUAAGGCCAGCGAGAGAACUGUUGUUAAGGAACUCGGCAAAAUGACCCCGUAACUUAGGGAUAAGGGGUGCCACCAUCAGGUGGCCGCAGAGAAUAGGCCCAAGCGACUGUUUACCAAAAACAUAGGUUUCUGCUAAGUCGCAAGACGAUGUAUAGG